rnacentral:rRNA from 1 species
UUAAGCGACUAAGCGUACACGGUGGAUGCCCUGGCAGUCAGAGGCGAUGAAGGACGUGCUAAUCUGCGAUAAGCGUCGGUGAGGUGAUAUGAACCGUUAUAACCGGCGAUUUCCGAAUGGGGAAACCCAGUGUGUUUCGACACACUAUCAUUAACUGAAUCCAUAGGUUAAUGAGGCGAACCGGGGGAACUGAAACAUCUAAGUACCCCGAGGAAAAGAAAUCAACCGAGAUUCCCCCAGUAGCGGCGAGCGAACGGGGAGGAGCCCAGAGCCUGAAUCAGUGUGUGUGUUAGUGGAAGCGUCUGGAAAGGCGCGCGAUACAGGGUGACAGCCCCGUACACAAAAAUGCACAUGCUGUGAGCUCGAUGAGUAGGGCGGGACACGUGGUAUCCUGUCUGAAUAUGGGGGGACCAUCCUCCAAGGCUAAAUACUCCUGACUGACCGAUAGUGAACCAGUACCGUGAGGGAAAGGCGAAAAGAACCCCGGCGAGGGGAGUGAAAAAGAACCUGAAACCGUGUACGUACAAGCAGUGGGAGCCUCUUUAUGGGGUGACUGCGUACCUUUUGUAUAAUGGGUCAGCGACUUAUAUUCUGUAGCAAGGUUAACCGAAUAGGGGAGCCGAAGGGAAACCGAGUCUUAACUGGGCGUUAAGUUGCAGGGUAUAGACCCGAAACCCGGUGAUCUAGCCAUGGGCAGGUUGAAGGUUGGGUAACACUAACUGGAGGACCGAACCGACUAAUGUUGAAAAAUUAGCGGAUGACUUGUGGCUGGGGGUGAAAGGCCAAUCAAACCGGGAGAUAGCUGGUUCUCCCCGAAAGCUAUUUAGGUAGCGCCUCGUGAAUUCAUCUCCGGGGGUAGAGCACUGUUUCGGCAAGGGGGUCAUCCCGACUUACCAACCCGAUGCAAACUGCGAAUACCGGAGAAUGUUAUCACGGGAGACACACGGCGGGUGCUAACGUCCGUCGUGAAGAGGGAAACAACCCAGACCGCCAGCUAAGGUCCCAAAGUCAUGGUUAAGUGGGAAACGAUGUGGGAAGGCCCAGACAGCCAGGAUGUUGGCUUAGAAGCAGCCAUCAUUUAAAGAAAGCGUAAUAGCUCACUGGUCGAGUCGGCCUGCGCGGAAGAUGUAACGGGGCUAAACCAUGCACCGAAGCUGCGGCAGCGACGCUUAUGCGUUGUUGGGUAGGGGAGCGUUCUGUAAGCCUGUGAAGGUGUGCUGUGAGGCAUGCUGGAGGUAUCAGAAGUGCGAAUGCUGACAUAAGUAACGAUAAAGCGGGUGAAAAGCCCGCUCGCCGGAAGACCAAGGGUUCCUGUCCAACGUUAAUCGGGGCAGGGUGAGUCGACCCCUAAGGCGAGGCCGAAAGGCGUAGUCGAUGGGAAACAGGUUAAUAUUCCUGUACUUGGUGUUACUGCGAAGGGGGGACGGAGAAGGCUAUGUUGGCCGGGCGACGGUUGUCCCGGUUUAAGCGUGUAGGCUGGUUUUCCAGGCAAAUCCGGAAAACCAAGGCUGAGGCGUGAUGACGAGGCACUACGGUGCUGAAGCGACAAAUGCCCUGCUUCCAGGAAAAGCCUCUAAGCAUCAGGUAACAUCAAAUCGUACCCCAAACCGACACAGGUGGUCAGGUAGAGAAUACCAAGGCGCUUGAGAGAACUCGGGUGAAGGAACUAGGCAAAAUGGUGCCGUAACUUCGGGAGAAGGCACGCUGAUAUGUAGGUGAAGCGACUUGCUCGUGGAGCUGAAAUCAGUCGAAGAUACCAGCUGGCUGCAACUGUUUAUUAAAAACACAGCACUGUGCAAACACGAAAGUGGACGUAUACGGUGUGACGCCUGCCCGGUGCCGGAAGGUUAAUUGAUGGGGUUAGCGGCAACGCGAAGCUCUUGAUCGAAGCCCCGGUAAACGGCGGCCGUAACUAUAACGGUCCUAAGGUAGCGAAAUUCCUUGUCGGGUAAGUUCCGACCUGCACGAAUGGCGUAAUGAUGGCCAGGCUGUCUCCACCCGAGACUCAGUGAAAUUGAACUCGCUGUGAAGAUGCAGUGUACCCGCGGCAAGACGGAAAGACCCCGUGAACCUUUACUAUAGCUUGACACUGAACAUUGAGCCUUGAUGUGUAGGAUAGGUGGGAGGCUUUGAAGUGUGGACGCCAGUCUGCAUGGAGCCGACCUUGAAAUACCACCCUUUAAUGUUUGAUGUUCUAACGUUGGCCCGUAAUCCGGGUUGCGGACAGUGUCUGGUGGGUAGUUUGACUGGGGCGGUCUCCUCCUAAAGAGUAACGGAGGAGCACGAAGGUUGGCUAAUCCUGGUCGGACAUCAGGAGGUUAGUGCAAUGGCAUAAGCCAGCUUGACUGCGAGCGUGACGGCGCGAGCAGGUGCGAAAGCAGGUCAUAGUGAUCCGGUGGUUCUGAAUGGAAGGGCCAUCGCUCAACGGAUAAAAGGUACUCCGGGGAUAACAGGCUGAUACCGCCCAAGAGUUCAUAUCGACGGCGGUGUUUGGCACCUCGAUGUCGGCUCAUCACAUCCUGGGGCUGAAGUAGGUCCCAAGGGUAUGGCUGUUCGCCAUUUAAAGUGGUACGCGAGCUGGGUUUAGAACGUCGUGAGACAGUUCGGUCCCUAUCUGCCGUGGGCGCUGGAGAACUGAGGGGGGCUGCUCCUAGUACGAGAGGACCGGAGUGGACGCAUCACUGGUGUUCGGGUUGUCAUGCCAAUGGCACUGCCCGGUAGCUAAAUGCGGAAGAGAUAAGUGCUGAAAGCAUCUAAGCACGAAACUUGCCCCGAGAUGAGUUCUCCCUGACUCCUUGAGGGUCCUGAAGGAACGUUGAAGACGACGACGUUGAUAGGCUGGGUGUGUAAGCGCAGCGAUGCGUUGAGCUAACCGGUACUAAUGAACCGUGAGGCUUAACCUU